UACUGCACCCAGGGGACUCUGUACCCUGUGCCCUGCCCCAUGGGGACAACAAGGAGCAGCCCAGGUGGCACCUCUGAAGGAAGCUGUGGACUGUGCCCAGCUGGAUCCUUUUGCCCUGGCCUGGACCUAAGCUCUCCUAUCAGUGCCUGUGUGGCUGGCUCCAAAUGCUCCUGGGACCUCAGGACCUCCAGCCCCAUGGCUUUCCUCUGCCCUCAGGGUCACUUCUGCCAACCAGGGUCUGCUUGGCCUGCCCCAUGCCACCAAGGGGAGUACCAGCCCUCCCUAGGCUCAGACACCUGCCUCUCGUGUCC